AUUGAACGCUGGCGGCAGGCUUAACACAUGCAAGUCGCACGAGUGGCGGACGGGUGAGUAAUGCUUGGGAAUCUAGCUUAUGGAGGGGGAUAACUAAGGGAAACUGUAGCUAAUACCGCGUAACGUAGGAUGAGCACAAGUGGGAGUAGGUCUGUUGUGAGUUAAAGGCUCCCCACGCCGUCGACCUAUAGCUGGUCUGAGAGGAUGACCAGCCACACUGGGACUGAGGAACGGACCAUACUCCUACGGGAGGCAGCAGUGGGGAAUAUGGCGCAAUGGGGGCAACCUGACGCAGCCAUGCCGCGUGAAUGAAGAAGGCCUUCGGGUUGUAAAGUUCUUGCGGUAGCGAGGCGUGAACUACAGAAGAAGCACCGGCGAACUCCGUGCCAGCAGCCGCGGUAAUUC
rnacentral:rRNA from 1 species